UCAGACGAUGCGUCAUGCAUAUCAAUAAGCGGAGGAAAAGAAACUAACAAGGAUUCCCUCAGUAACGGCGAGUGAAGCGGGAAGAGCUCAAAUUUGGAAUCUUGAAAGGUCACCUUUCACGAAUUGUAGUUUAAAGAAGUGUUUUCUGUUACGAUCGUAAUAUAAGUUCUUUGGAAUAGGACAUCACAGAGGGUGAGAAUCCCGUCUAUGAUUGCGAUUUGUAGCUUUGUGAUACACUUUCAAAGAGUCGGGUUGUUUGGGAAUGCAGCCCAAAACGGGAGGUAAAUUUCUUCUAAGGCUAAAUAUUGGCGAGAGACCGAUAGCGAACAAGUACCGUGAGGGAAAGAUGAAAAGAACUUUGAAAAGAGAGUUAAAUAGUACGUGAAAUUGUCAAAAGGGAAGCGUUUAACACCAGUGUUGUUUUCUGAAAAUCAACCUCUGUUAGCUUUAUGCAUGUUUGUUUAGACCUAAUCAGCUAUCUUGCAUGUCUUAGUUUUGGUCAUUUUUGAUGCACUUUUCAGUUACAGGUCAACAUCAGUUUCUUUUACCGUAAGAAGGUAGAAGGAAGGUGGCUUUAGUUUCGGCUGAAGUGUUUAUAGCCUUCUGCCCCUGCGGUCGGAGAGAUUGAGGUCUGCAGCGUAGAUCCUUCGGGGCUAGAUACGUUUGUGCUAAGUUAUAGCUUUGUAUAGACAACAUGUUGACUAUGCUUAGUCAUGUAGCUUACUCGCAGAUAGUAUUUUACCUACGCUUAGGAUGUUGACUGAUAUGUAGUCGUA
rnacentral:rRNA from 1 species